rnacentral:rRNA from 1 species
GCUAAAUAUCUAGCCUCAUCUUUUUUUAUUUAAAGACUCCUAUUCCCUAUUAAACCAAAACAUUUUAAGAAUUUAGUAGAGGCGAUCAAAAAAUUUGUUAGCGCCAUAGAUAUAGUACCGCAAGGGAAAGAUGAAAUAAAAAUGAAACAAUUUUUAAGCACAGCAAAGUAGAGUUUAUUUCUUGUACCUUUUGCAUCAUGGUUUAACUAGUCUAAUCAAGCAAAAAGAUUUUUCAGUUUGAGCCCCCGAACCUAGACGAGCUACUUUAAGACAGCUUCUUGAGCGAACCCAUCUCUGUUGCAAAAUAGUGGGAUGAUCUUAAAGUAGAGGUGAUAGACCUAACGAGCCUAGUGAUAGCUGGUUGCCUUAGAAAAGGAUCUUAGUCCUACUUAAAGUUAUCUUAAUCAAUAAAAAUACUUCUUUAAAGUUAUUCAAAUAAGGUACAGCCUAUUUGAAAAAGGAUACAACCUCCUCUACUGGGUUAUAUAAUAAUAUUAAUAAUAAAGUAGGCCUAAGAGCAGCCAUCUUAAAUGAAAGCGUCAAAGCUCAAUUAUUUAUUUAUUUAAUUUCUCAACCAAUUCCGACCCCUUAACCACUAAAAGGCAAAUCUAUAUAUUUAUAGAAAAUUUUAUGUUAAAACUAGUAAUAAGAAGCAGACCCUUCUCUCCCAAUGCAAGUUUUCAUCAGCAAGGACACCCCACUGAUAAUUAUCGUUACUAAUAAUAAAGUAGCAACUGACCAAGAAAAAUCUACUUAGUCACACGUCAACCUAACACCAGAGCAUUUAGAGAAAGAUUUAAAGAAAAAGAAGGAACUCGGCAAAUAUUAGUCUCGCCUGUUUACCAAAAACAUCGCCUCUUGAUCCCCAAUAAGAGGUCCAGCCUGCCCAGUGACAUUGUUCAACGGCCGCGGUAUCCUAACCGUGCGAAGGUAGCGUAAUCACUUGUUCUUUAAUUGAGGACUAGUAUGAAUGGCUUCACGAAGACUAUACUGUCUCCUUUUUCUAAUCAAUGAAACUAAUCUUCCCGUGAAGAAGCGGGAAUAACUUUAUAAGACGAGAAGACCCUAUGGAGCUUUAAACAAUUGAAAUAUUUGCUUUUACUAACUACCUCUCGAGGACUAAAUAUAUUUAAGCAUUAUUAAUUUCUAGUUUUAGGUUGGGGUGACCACGGAGUAAAACUUAACCUCCACGCUGAAAGUAACGCCUUCUUAGCAAAAAGCCACAUCUUUAUGCAUCACCAAACUGACUUACAUUGACCCAAUUAUUUGAUCAACGAACCAAGUUACCCUAGGGAUAACAGCGCAAUCUACCUCAAGAGCCCGUAUUGACAGGUAGGUUUACGACCUCGAUGUUGGAUCAGGGUGUCCCGGUGGUGCAGCCGCUACUAAAGGUUCGUUGUUCAACGAUAAAAC